GUACCCUUAGUGCGCAUGAGUACCCUUAGUGCGCAUGAGUACCCUUAGUGCGCAUGAGUACCCUUAGUGCGCAUGAGUAUCCUUAGUGCGCAUGCAGAUUUAGUGCGCAUGCGUGUUCUUUGUACCCUGCGGCCAUGUUUAGGUAAGCCACCCCUGCGCAAGUUCGUUUAGCUGCGCCAAACUUACGGUGUAAGCGCGUGCGGGGCAGAUCUGAGGUUUUCCGGGGUACCCUUCAUUUACUGUCUUCCUAAUGCAAGAUGGCUAACUCUUUUCACUAGCAAAUAGCAAGUUACAGAAAGAUGUUGCCAAUCUUGUACUACAGAAUAAACUUCAGACAAACAAGAACUCAUUGGAGAAAUCUUAUCCCAGGGCCAAGAUGUCUACCCGCCUUCCCCUAAAUUCAUGUGUGGGAAUCCAAUCCCUCAGAAGUCUAUAAAAGAUUACAAUGGAAAUUUAUUGAUCUAAUACAUAAACACAAAUGUCCAAGGACUCUGAAAAAUAAAAAAGCACACAGAUUGAGAAGGGAUUCAAAACCUCAAGAAAGAGCAACAUAGCACUGAGGUGAUUUAUUUUGUCUUCUUUGUUUCUUUCCUAAAGCUUUGGCUCAAGGAUGGGCCUGAGUCCUGGAAGCAGAGCGUGUGGGGAAUCCCCAUUAACUGUUUGUUAGGUGUUGCUUUUUGUUUGUUUAUUUGUAUACCAACCCCAGAGAAGGAACUAUACUCUGGAAUGUCAAUGGCAGAACAGUCCCAACCAUCCCAAGGAAAAACUCAUAUUUCGGUGCUGAAAAAAAAAAACAAAAAAAAACAAAAAAAAACGGGUAAAAGGACCUUGUUGCUCCAGAGUAAAAGGAGAAAAUAAACCACCGCUAUUUUUCCCUCUUUUAUCUCCCUGCAUUACUACAAGGGAACUACAAAUAAUCAGACAGUAAAAGUAUAGUAAAAUAUAGUCAAAGCAUAGUACAUUUACAGAGAAUUGAGCUUACUAAUAUCAAUGCCAGCAAAUUAGUGUGGAAAAAAUAUUACUUUAUCCCUUUUAUAUAGAUAUUACAAUAGAAGAUUUCAACAUUGAGUCCACUCCCGCUGUCUUCAACAUUAUUCCUCUCGAAAUUCUCUUGUUAAUUGUGGUCAUAUAAAUAAUAUUGCCAGUAGUCUGGCAUCUAUAAUUUUAAUUCUGGUCACUCCAGUCUCUGAACAUCACAUGCGAUGGCUCCAGGUCACUUAAUUUGAUAUAUCAACACCUGAAAUCUAGAAGCCUAACAGAACCUUGCACGUAUCCUUCAUUCCUUUGUCUUCUUUAAAUCCAUUUUGCUACUCUGACCAAACAAAAAUCCAGUCUCGGGGUGUUCCAUGUCUGGACCCACAUAGCUGAUUACCUCCAGAGUACAAUACAAAGUCAUUGUAAUGGAGCCAAUUUAAAUUCAUACUAAUUGACCUAAGUGUACUCCUUAACACUUUACCAAAAGUUACUAGCCCCUUAACUGCCCUACUUCCCUUUUGGAUCCUAAUUCUUUUAUUAUCCCACUCUUCUUGAUACGGUUGAGAUUUUCUUUUUUCUUUCAAUCUCCACCAAACUGUUGCACAUUCUGAGCUUCCACUUUGACAGUGCCGUCCAUUUCCCUUACAAAUAAACAAGAAGACAACCUGUGGAUGCUCUAUUCACAGCAUCUGCCCACCUGUACCUAUAUAUACAUGACUAUUUUCUCCAUGCUAUCUAUAUUUCUACAAGAGUAUUUAACACUAUUUGUAUAUAAAAAUUGUAUCCUCCUUAUGCAACUCAAGCAUAUUGACAAUUUUUUAGUUCCUCUCUUGUAUCAUCAUUUUCUUCAUUCUAUAGGAAGCUUUCACAUAUUCAAUGAAAAGUUUUAUUAACUUUAAAAAUAAAUAAAAUAAGCUCAUGAACAGUUUUGACCUUUCUUUACUUGAUUUUUUUCUCCUUCCCUUUGCAAACAAAAAGCAAUAACCACAACCACAGUAAGAGCAAUAAAAAUCUUAUAGGUGCUAUCUAAGCUCACUUCCUCUAUUUUUUCUCUUAAUAUUCUUUUUUUUCUACCAGUACAAAUGAAGGUGGCACUUACAGCACUCCACUGAUACUGCUCUUAUUGAAGGUCAUUAGUGACAUCCACUGCUAUUAAACUAAUGGUUGUCUUGGUUUUCAUUAUUCUUGACCCAUCAGCUCUUUUAAACCCAGUUGAAGGUGAACAUUAAGACCUCACUGAUAAAUGAGCCUAAAUAAUGUCAUCAUAUAAUUUUUUGACUACUGUUCUUAUCAGCUGAAAUGUGCAAUAUCUUAUUUUGAUAAACUUGAUAAUGUGAUUCAAUAAGAAACAAAAUUAAUGUUACUUAAAAUAUCCUUGAAACAAAUGUUAAUGGAAUUAUGUAUUGUGAAUAUACAUAAAUAUUACUUGGUAUGCUAGUUCAUUAUUGAUUUUGUGCUCAAGGUACAUUGCUGACUAUUAAAUUUUUUGGACAGGAACUAAAGUAUUAAAAUAGCUUUUAGCUAUUUAAAAAUGUUCACUAUUAUCACCUGAAUAUCUUUUGCCACUAAGUCAAUAUAAUAGCAAAAAUGUAAGCUCCAAAACCAAAACAAAACAAUAUGUAUGUAUUACCCCGUUUAUGCUUUUGUGUAUAUUUGAAGUUAUUGCAAUUUUAAAAGACAAAAUUGUUGUAUACUUGAUGCCUGACUAGUACAUAUUCUCAAUUGAGCGAGAAAAUUUGAUUACUUCAAUUUAAAUUUAGCAUAUUCCCUGAGAUUUACUAAUGGUAAUUAUAUUGUUGUACCAGGUGUCUCCAGAGGAGAAUGAUGUUACUGGAAAGAUGAUAGUAGUUUACUUGUGCUGUUAGUAAUCUUUUCAUAGACUCCAGAUAAUAGUCUAUUAAUUGAUUGCUUUACAAUGGCACAAAUUUUGCUACAUAAUAAAGCCUCUGGAGUUCAAGAUUGUAAAAUUAAAAUCUAUUUUUAAUGUAAUAUUGGACAGUUUCAAAUCAGAAAAGUAUGUACAUAUCCAUGUAAUGAACUAUGUAAAAAAAUAUAUUACAUAGCUCUACAAGGGAAAUCACAAUUUUUUUCAUGGAUUUAUUUUACAGCUCACUUUUCUCAA